CGAUUCCGUAAGUAGCGGCGAGCGAACGCGGAUUAGCCCAAACCAAUAAAGUUUUCUUUAUUGGGGUUGAGGACAUACCACAUAUAAGAGGUCAUUAUAGACGAAGAAGUUUGGAAAAACUCAUCAUAGAAGGUAAUAAUCCUGUAGUCAAAAUAAUAAUUCUUUAGGUAUGAUCCAGAGUACCACGGGACACGUGAAACCCUGUGGGAAGCAGGAGGGACCACCCUCCAAGGCUAAAUACUACCUAGUGACCGAUAGCGUAUAGUACCGUGAGGGAAAGGUGAAAAGAACCCCGGGAGGGGAGUGAAAUAGAACCUGAAACCCUGCACUUACAAGCUGUGGAAGC
rnacentral:rRNA from 1 species